AUUUUCAGAGAAUUGGUGACCCAUUUCUUAGACCCGCGUCCCGCGACGAAGACCCGACAAUAUCUCCUCCUUCCGGCCAUUUAUCGACGGCGUACCACUGGCGCUAGGAUCGUCUCGACGUCGCGACCAAGCCUAUAGCUUGGGUUUCCACCGACGAGCUCCGACGAAGCCAAUUCGAAACCAAGAAGUUUCUGCGGUUUUCUUGAGUUUCCGACCGGCGACCGAUGAUGACAUGCAAGAAUGAUCAAGAUGGUGAGAAUCUCAGAGUUAAGCUAUCUCUGUUUAUGUAAAUAGAGAACAGAGUAGCUUUUGUUGGCGUUAAUCAGAAUGGAUGAGAUACACCCCAACUUCUCAAAUUUGAAAACUGUGGAAAGCUGGAGGUUGGAAUAGCCAGUGCACAUGAGGAAAAUCUCCCUCUGAUAACUAGACAAGGACUCCAGUUACCCAAAACAUGAAACGUGGUGGUGUUGGCCUAGGAAAGCAAAUGGAGUCAAAGCUGCAAUAUUCCAGGUAGGGGAUUCUAGACCCGCCUCAGUAACUUUUAUGCAUAUAUUUUAAGGAAAUUAAUGAUGCAUGAAAAAGAAUUUGGUUUUUAUUGCAUUUUCUAUGAGUUAUUGUUUGAUGACCUGAGAGUGAGAGGAGCAUAGCGACUUCCUUGGGCUUCGAUCCCCUAAACCUCCGGAGGGGCUGUAUGGACUGAAGAGUGUCUGACAUCCGUUGAGGUGUGACACUGCUUUUAGGUGAUACGGCGUAAGUGGACACUCUCGCUACACCUUGCCGGUGUAAACGAUAUUAAUCGUGGUAAGGUUGUAGUUGGCAUAGCGAUCGGUCAUCAGGUCUGUUUCAUUCUUUUGGGCCCUACUAUAUUUUUAUAAACGAACUACAGUUUAUGGUUUCGAACAUUUUUAUCUAUACGCAUUGUUUCUCACUUACUUUGCCGGCACCUAUAUUUUAAAUUAUUUUCGCACCUAGCUGGGGUAGAGUCUUAUUGAGCAGCGAGGACGAAAGCUCACCCCUACAACAGUUUGUGGAUGCAGGUACUGUGUACGAAGACGGGACAGUUGGAUGAUGCUAAUUGUGGCUUAGUUAGCUUGUACUUUAAAUGGUCAUCGACGGAGUUAGAUCCGCGUGACAGGUUCUCUUAAUUAUUUUCUUUACUCCCGUGUAACUUGUUUAUCGAGGUUGUGAUUAUUUGUAAAGUACCACUUUUGUAUAUUUUUCGGACUUUGGACUUGAACUGGACGAACAUUCGAUAAUUGUUUUGAAAUGACUUGUAUUUGUUUUCUUCAAA